UGGGGAAUUUUGGACAAUGGACGCAAGUCUGAUCCAGCCAUUCCGCGUGCAGGAUGAAGGCCCUCGGGUUGUAAACUGCUUUUGUACGGAACGAAAAGGUCUCUCUUAAUACGAGGGGCUCAUGACGGUAUCGUAAGAAUAAGGAUCGGCUAACUCCGUG
rnacentral:rRNA from 1 species